rnacentral:lncRNA from 1 species
GCUCCGUUUGGAGUGAUCUUGAUCUCGUUGGACUCUAUGUUUCAUCAUGGAUCUCACUAUGGGCUCAAUGUAGACUGAAUCUUAAGAUAUCAAAUUUUAACAUGAUGAAGAUCUAAUCACCUACAUGGAUGCUAUGCAAAGGCUCGACUCCAAGAAAUGGCUUAAGGCUAUGAAAUCUGAGAUAGUGUCCACAGAGAUCAAUGGUAUAUGAAUACUUUGAUCCAUCCGAA